GAUGAAGAACGUAGCAAAAUGCGAUAAGUAAUGUGAAUUGCAGAAUUCAGUGAAUCAUCGAAUCUUUGAACGCACAUUGCGCCCGCUGGUAUUCCGGCGGGCAUGCCUGUUCGAGCGUCAUUUCAACCCUCAAGCCCCCGGGUUUGGUGUUGGGGAUCGGCUCUGCCUUCUGGCGGUGCCGCCCCCGAAAUACAUUGGCGGUCUCGCUGCAGCCUCCAUUGCGUAGUAGCUAACACCUCGCAACUGGAACGCGGCGCGGCCAUGCCGUAAAACCCCAACUUCUGAAUGUUGACCUCGGAUCAGGUAGGAAUACCCGCUGUACUUAAGCAUAUCAAUAAGCGGAGGA
rnacentral:misc_RNA from 1 species